rnacentral:rRNA from 1 species
GACGAACGCUGGCGGCGUGCUUAACACAUGCAAGUCGAACGAAGUGGCGAACAGGUGAGUAAUACGUGGGUAACAUGCCCUCCUUUUUGGGAUAAGCAAUGGAAACGGGGUCUAAUACCGAAGAAAGGGGGAUGGGCUCGCGGCCUAUCAGCUUGUUGGUGGGGUGAUGGCAUACCAAGGCGGUGACGGGUAGCCGGCCUGAGUGGGUGACCGGCCACAUUGGGACUGAGAUACGGCCCAGACUCCUACGUGAGGCAGCAGUGGGGGAUAGUGCACAAUGUGCGAAAGCCUGAUGCAGCGACGCCGCGUGGGGGAUGAAGGCUUUCGGGUUGUAAACCUCUGUCGCUAUCGAACGGGUAGGUUGCGAAGAAGCGCCGGCUAACUACGUGCCAGCAGCCGCGGUAAUAC